rnacentral:rRNA from 1 species
CAGCAGCCGCGGUAAUACGUAGGUGGCAAGCGUUGUCCGGAAUUAUUGGGCGUAAAGCGCGCGCAGGUGGUUUAAUAAGUCUGAUGUGAAAGCCCACGGCUCAACCGUGGAGGGUCAUUGGAAACUGUUAAACUUGAGUGCAGGAGAGAAAAGUGGAAUUCCUGGUGUAGCGGUGAAAUGCGUAGAGAUUAGGAGGAACACCAGUGGCGAAGGCGGCUUUUUGGCCUGUAACUGACACUGAGGCGCGAAAGCGUGGGGAGCAAACAGGAUUAGAUACCCCUGUAGUCCCUGUCUCUUAUAA